rnacentral:rRNA from 1 species
AUUAAACGCUGGCGGCAUGCCUUACACAUGCAAGUCGAACGGCAGCACGGGGGGCAACCCUGGUGGCGAGUGGCGAACGGGUGAGUAAAGCAUCGGAACGUGCCCUGGAGUGGGGGGAUAACGUAGCGAAAGUUACGCUAAUACCGCAUAUUCUGUGAGCAGGAAAGCAGGGGGAUCGCAAGACCUUGCGCUCUGGGAGCGGCCGAUGUCGGAUUAGCUAGUUGGUGGGGUAAAGGCCUACCAAGGCGACGAUCCGUAGCGGGUCUGAGAGGAUGAUCCGCCACACUGGGACUGAGACACGGCCCAGACUCCUACGGGAGGCAGCAGUGGGGAAUUUUGGACAAUGGGCGAAAGCCUGAUCCAGCCAUGCCGCGUGAGUGAAGAAGGCCUUCGGGUUGUAAAGGCUCUUUCGGUGGGGAA